GCGCCCCUAAUCUCUUCAGUCCCUUCACGCCUGAAAAAGUUCAAACAUGUUUUGAAAACAAAUUCUGGAAAAACUGUUUGUUUUCAAAAUAGUAUAUUAUAAUAUCAAACAUAUUUUGGAACCUGGAAUGAGGUUUUUGUUUUCUUGUUCUUUUCAUCUGCUGUUUUCUCCGCACCACGUACUGACUUAUUGGAUAAUUCUUGCAAUGAUUUCUAAUUUUUUGACUGAUAAUAUGGCAGGUUACGAAAAUGAAGCUGAAGGUUGUUAAUCUAGGGUGUAAACCCUGCUACAAGAAGAUCAAGAAACUGCUCUGUAAAUUUCCUGAGAAAUACGAGAUCAGACUUUCAAUGAGAAGGACGACACCGUGAUAAUCAAAGUAGUAUGCUGCUGCCCUGAGAAAAUCAGAACGAAGCUUAUCUGCAAAGGUGGCGAUACCAUCAAGAGUAUCGAGGUUAUACCACCUACACCGCCACCUACACCGCCACCUACACCGCCACCUACUACGCCACCUCCACCGCCAGUGUAUUUAGCAUUCAUCUUUCCAAGUGGGUGUCGCUGUGACAGAAGCUAUGGUUGCCGCUGUGAAAUCGUUAUUGAAGAAAAUCCGAUAUGCACCAUCAUGUGAAUCAUACUCCAUCGUGGUUGUCGUUGUCUGGUGUUUUUAAUUCCUUUUCUCAGUUGGGUGUUGAGUCGGUGAUCAGUUCUUUUGGGUUCUUUUCUCGUCCACAACUUCAAGGCUGUAUAGGCCAAUAAUGUUUGUGGACUAAUAGAUGUUGAUUUCAUCCUUAGAUGCUUAUAAUUCACUUAAAAAAGAUUAUCAAAAGCACCUUUUGUAAGGGCCCUUUUGAAGACACCCUGAA